AUUGAACGCUGGCGGCAUGCCUUACACAUGCAAGUCGAACGGCAGCACGGGUGCUUGCACCUGGUGGCGAGUGGCGAACGGGUGAGUAAUACAUCGGAACAUGUCCUGUAGUGGGGGAUAGCCCGGCGAAAGCCGGACUAAUACCGCAUACGAUCCACGGAUGAAAGCGGGGGACCUUCGGGCCUCGCGCUAUAGGGUUGGCCGAUGGCUGAUUAGCUAGUUGGUGGGGUAAAGGCCUACCAAGGCGACGAUCAGUAGCUGGUCUGAGAGGACGACCAGCCACACUGGGACUGAGACACGGCCCAGGCUCCUACGGGAGGCAGCAGUGGGCAAUUUUGGACAAUGGGCGAAAGCCUUAUCCAGCAAUGCCGCGUGUGUGAAGAAGGCCUUCGGGUUGUAAAGCACUUUUGUCCGGAAAGAAAUCCUUGACUCUAAUACAGUCGGGGGAUGACGGUACCGGAAGAAUAAGCACCGGCUAACUACGUG
rnacentral:rRNA from 1 species